rnacentral:rRNA from 1 species
GAGUUUGAUCCUGGCUCAGAACGAACGCUGGCGGCAUGCCUAACACAUGCAAGUCGAACGAACUCUUCGGAGUUAGUGGCGCACGGGUGCGUAACGCGUGGGAAUCUGCCCUUGGGUACGGAAUAACUCAGAGAAAUUUGUGCUAAUACCGUAUAAUGACUUCGGUCCAAAGAUUUAUCGCCCAAGGAUGAGCCCGCGUAAGAUUAGCUAGUUGGUGGGUAAAGGCCUACCAAGGCUACGAUCUUUAGCUGGUCUGAGAGGAUGAUCAGCCACACUGGGACUGAGACACGGCCCAGACUCCUACGGGAGGCAGCAGUGGGGAAUAUUGGACAAUGGGCGAAAGCCUGAUCCAGCAAUGCCGCGUGAGUGAUGAAGGCCUUAGGGUUGUAAAGCUCUUUUACCCGGGAUGAUAAUGACAGUACCGGGAGAAUAAAGCUCCGGCUAACUCCGUGCCAGCCGCCGCCGU